AACGCUAGCUACAGGCUUAACACAUGCAAGUCGCGGGGUAACGAGAGGGAAGCUUGCUUUCCUUGUCGACGACCGGCGCACGGGUGAGUAACGCGUAUCCAACCUGCCCAUUACCACGGGAUACCCCGUCGAAAGGCGGCCUAAUACCGUAUGCAGUCGUCAGAUGACAUCAGAGGACGACGAAAGGAUUGGCGGUAAUGGAUGGGGAUGCGUCUGAUUAGGUAGUUGGAGGGGUAACGGCCCACCAAGCCAUCGAUCAGUAGGGGUUCUGAGAGGAAGGUCCCCCACAUUGGAACUGAGACACGGUCCAAACUCCUACGGGAGGCAGCAGUGAGGAAUAUUGGUCAAUGGGCGAGAGCCUGAACCAGCCAAGUAGCGUGCAGGAUGACGGCCCUAUGGGUUGUAAACUGCUUUUAUACAGGAAUAAAGUUAGCCACGUGUGGUUAUUUGUAGGUACUGUAUGAAUAAGGACCGGCUAAUUCCGUGCCAGCAGCCGCGGUAAUACGGAAGGUCCAGGCGUUAUCCGGAUUUAUUGGGUUUAAAGGGAGCGUAGGCCGUCUGUUAAGCGUGUUGUGAAAUGUAGAUGCUCAACAUCUGAAUUGCAGCGCGAACUGGCAGACUUGAGUGUGCGCAACGUAGGCGGAAUUCGUGGUGUAGCGGUGAAAUGCUUAGAUAUCACGAAGAACUCCGAUUG
rnacentral:rRNA from 1 species